rnacentral:rRNA from 1 species
UUAAACGUCCAUACCACGUUGAAUACACCGGUUCUCGUCCGAUCACCGAAGUUAAGCAACGUCGGACGCGGUCAAUACUUGGAUGGGUACCUGGGAACAUCGCGUGACGAUGGCU